rnacentral:rRNA from 1 species
GGACUCAGGGGGAAGUAUGCUCGCAAGAGUGAAAUUUAAAGGAAUUGACGGAAGGGCACCACCAGAUGUGGAGCCUGCGGCUCAAUUUGACUCAACACGGGAAAACUUACCAGGUCCAGACAUAGUAAGGAUUGACAGAUUGAAGUUCUUUCUUGAUUCUAUGAAUAGUGGUGCAUGGCCGUUCUUAGUUGGUGGAGCGAUUUGUCUGGUUAAUUCCGAUAACGAACGAGACCUCAGCCAUCUAACUAGCUGUCGCUAGUUCUCUAGCGUUUGCUCGCGCAAGAUCAGCUUCUUAGAGGGACAAUCUGCGCCUAGCAGAUGGAAGAUUGAGGCUAUAACAGGUCAGUGAUGCCCUUAGAAGGUCUGGGCUGCACGCGCGCUACAAUGACUCAGACAACGGGUCCAGCCGAACCUGAAAAGGCGAGGUAAUCCCCAAACUGGGUCCAAGUUGGGAUAGAUGAUUGUAAUUGUUCAUCUUGAACAAGGAAUAUCUAGUAAACGCAAGUCAUCAACUUGCAUUGAUUACGUCCCUGCCCUUUGUACACACCGCCCGUCGCUCCUACCGAUUGAAUAAUCAGAUGAACUGAGUGGAUGAGGCGUAGCCUCGGCAAACUCCUCAAAAGCUCCGUGAAUCUUAUUAUUUAGAGGAAGAACAAGUCGUAACAAGGAAAGGGCGAAUUCCACAUUGGG